rnacentral:misc_RNA from 1 species
UCUCCGUAGGUGAACCUGCGGAGGUAUCAUUACAGAGUUCAUGCCCUACCGGGUAGAUCUCCCACCCUAUGUUAUUAUUACUUUGUUGCUUUGGCGGGCCGUUAGGCUCCGGCCCGACUACCGGCCCCGGCUGGUAAGCGCCCGCCAGAGGACCCAAAACCCUGAAUAUUAGUGUCGUCUGAGUACUAUAUAAUAGUUAAAACUUUCAACAACGGGUCUCUUGGUUCUGGCAUCGACGAAGAACGCAGC